CUGGUGUCCGUGCGUGUGUGAGUAUGUGCGCUCGCGUGCGCGCCUGCGCGGCUCGGCUCCGCGGGGCUGUCGGCGUGGGUGUCAGCGCGCGCCGCAGGCAGGACAGGCGGGCUCCCGCAGCCGUCCCCGCCGGGCUCCUCCCCCCUCCCCGGAGCUUCAAAGACAACAAAGCGCGUUGCUGGCUCUGGAGAAGAGAGAGGUGGGCGCGCAGAGCUCCAAACGUUCCACGAGCGCUUUGGAGUGGCCUUCUUGACUGAGGUCACUGGAGAUAUCUCAGCGUUUACAGCGGGGCCCGCACCACCCUGAUACACAAAAAAGUCCAACCAAGCGUACACAGAAGUCCGCCCACUCGGCUAACUCCAAGCUCCGGGCUUUGCGCGGGGCCUGUCACUCAAGUGACGUUUGGCCCCGCCCCUGCACCAAGCUAGUUCGACGCGUACAAACAGAUGAUGUCAUUGUAUCCGCACGCGCGUGACCCGGGAGCUCUACACCGCGAAGCCAUUCGCUGCGCCGCUAACUCGUCAAGCUACGCCGCGCGCUGACUGGCCGCGGCCACAAGUCUCCAGGUUCCAGACGCCCCUCUCCGCCCCCCGCACCUCCCCAGAAAUAAUAAACAAUCGAGAAGAUUUUAGGUCCUUGAAGACACGGGAGCCAGGUAUUGUUUACCAGUGGAAGGAGGCGCUCAGCUCUUUUUUGGAAGCCCGCAGUAAAAACUGAGUUUGUGACUACAUCUUGAGAACCCUAUUGUAAGGUCUGACGGAGUAUUUCCAAGGGGAAGGGAGACGUGAAGGCAGCACUAAAGCAGAGCGGCCGGCCGGCCUGCAGCAACGGCACUUGGCUUCCGUUUCUCAUCUUGGGAAAACCUGCGAAGUGAGCAUGUGUCCAUGUCCACUUGUUAGAAAGUCUACUUAAAUGCCCAGGAACUGGAAGCUUAAAUAUAAAUUACUUUUAAAGCAUUGGUAUGGUACUUAAAAGAAAUCAAGGCCAUAGAGAACCAUUCAUUACCCUUCGGAAGAUGCUGUGUCUCCCUGGUGCCACUUGGCAUGUCCACCAAUUGUAAAGUUCUCUGGAAUAGUCUGAACUAAAGCUCCCACAGGGUGUGUUUGGGGGCUGAAGGGACACUAAAUCUUGAUUAUUGUCUCUCCCACAUUUAUGCCUAGAAAGAGAGUAAAACCGUGAAACAGGAAGAUGACAGAGAAAAUAUAAAAGCUUGGCAAAUUUUAUGAGUUUGACGUAAACGGUUUAAAAUCCUUAAGCUAGACGUGAAGCCUGUGCAUGUGCUACAGCAAACCCUGGCAUGGAGAAGGACCAAUGCGGCUGCCACAGUCGCUAUGAGGGUGGUGUAUUUGAGUUGGAAAGUUAUUCAUUAGCAACGGUUCAAACAUCUUAGAAGUCUCUCCUUUGUUGGUUGAACUUCUCAGUUCAGGUUCUGGUGGAGCCGUUUCUGGGGACCUUGCAGAGUAGGGGUCCUAGUGGUGUUAGCAGGACUUAUUUUGUGAGCCCACUCAGCCCACUCCAAGAGAUGGCGUUUGAGGAGCCUGGCCUGUGCGCACCUAGCUUCUCGCCAGAGAGGAAGUUCUGGUUGAUGGUUUAGUCCACUUCCCUUAAAGGGUAGCUCGUCUCCAAGUGUUGGAAAAGGCUGACCUUUCUCCUUUCCCCGCCCUCUGGAGCAGUUCGCAUUCCCGUAAUGCCGCAUCGCUGCGUCCUCCAGGGGCUACUUGUGCUCAUUUCUGGAGGGAGAGCCCAUGCCACCAAAAUGGUAACAAAUCGCUGAGACAUAUGCGAGGAGGAAGCGUCCAGGCCUCCAAACGACAAGUUAUCUUAUGAAAGCAUAGCAUCAGAACCUCACACACUUACACGGCAUUUACAGUCAGUCCUUCCACAAUUUCACUUCUCAAAUGUAUAAUUUGAAAGGGUUUUUUACAUUUAAAAGGACCUUUAUAAAUUCUGUAUUUUGGAAACAAAUAAUGAGGCCACAUGAAUCAUUCAUAAAAGCUCAUGACCUUUGCGGUACCUGUCCUGUUUAGGGAACUCACCAAACCCAGUCCCUUUUGGUCAGGCUUUCCUAUUCACUAUGGAGAGCAGAGCUCCUGCUGGAGCGGGUGGGGAGUUUGCCAGCCAAUAAAAAGAUGGGGUUAGAGCUGCCUCCUUUUUUUUCUUGUUGUGCCAUGAAAAUAUAUCGUUGAAGAGUGGAUGGGUUGUCAUGACAACCAACAGAAAGGUUUGUGACCUACAUGGAGCCUAGAAACAGGAGAGACAAUGGCCUCCACCGGCUGGCCUUUUUCCAGUGGACGGGCUAGGAAGAGGAGGACCCAAAUAAGUAAAGGUCACUGGCCUCAGAAACCACUGAGAGCACUUCCCCAGACCUGAUAGACCCCCCUGGUUAAGUGGCGAGAUCAAGUUUCUUUACUUGCUGAACGGAGAAUUGGAGAGGAUCUGGGGACAUCACAGCCCAAAGGGUUCUACGGGGCCCCGUCUGAAGGAGGUGGGCAUUUCACCUGUUUCCCCCAUCGGCUCAAUGUUAUCAAUAAAUUAUCCUCUUGAAACUAA